rnacentral:lncRNA from 1 species
AUGCUAUGGAUAAGUACUGUUCUCUUCUGCUUCAUUUGUGUUGGGAUGUUCAGGUCUUGCUGGUGUAGAGUCCCUAGACUCUGGUGGCAUCAUAUUUGUUUUUCUAUUGUUGGAUGUGUUCUUAUGUUGUGGUCUUCCCAUCUCUUCUUCCAGUGGGUGCAGGUGGUGUCUCUUCCUCUCCUGGUGUGUACAGGUCCAAGGUUGUCUUCCGAUGGGUGCAAGAGGGUUAGAUACUCUGAUGGGUCUCAAGGUGGGUGCAGCAUGUGUGAGGCACUCACUCUCCAGAUGGGUGGGAGUGGGACUAGCCCAGCGAUCUCUACAGACUCAGGGUUGCUAGGACCUCAGGGGCCAAGUGAACCUGCCUACAGACCCCAGGACAGGAGUUCCCCCAGUUUCAGUUUUGAUUGCAGACUCUUAAGUUUUCACUGCUGAAUGAAUCUCUGAGUUGGUGACCUAGAAAAGAAUCCUGCAAAAGUAGCUGAGGCUAUCCUCAUACUCAAUACAGCCCUCCCGUCUCUCAAAACUUCCAAGAAUGGAAAUUUAUAUGUAAGUGUAAUUGAUUAAUAAUUAGACUUUAUUUGCACUCCUAGUACUUUAGUUUUUAUUAUGAUAUAAAAUUAGGGAUCAGACUGCUAUAUUAACCAGAAAGUCAUCUUUAAAUGUUAAAACAAAGUACUUAAAACAGGAAACUCAAAAGGAAAACAUUCUCCCUCCUCCUUGACACACA